GGCCCCCUGGGGGUAACGGUGCCCAGCUUGCCCUUGUGCAGCCCCAUCAUUAGCAACCUCCUGUGCUUUGAGCAGUAAUGUGGAAACAGAAAGCUAUUCCAAGAGAAUAGCUUUCUGACCAGAAAUAUUAAAUGGCACAAACAGCCAUUCAGAAAUCCACUUUAUUUUCUUUCUUUUUUUUUUUUUUUUUUUGUUAUGUUUAGUUACAUGAGUCAUCUGAUCAGAGAAGAGAAACAAGCAACUGGAGCUGAGCAGCAGCCAAGUGGGGCUGCGAAACGAGGCCGUGCGACGGGUGCAGCCGAACUGCGUGCAUGUGGAGCACUUGCAAAAAGCUGUCAGGAACGAUCUGCAGCUGAGGUUUAUUUAUCGCAGAUCCACAUCAGCCCUGCCAAGCAACAACCGAAUGUGCUAACAGAACGGAGAGGCCAUUCAUUAGCUGGGUGAUUAGUAAUGAAAUAAUUCUCCCGCUCUGCGCUGGUAGCUACUGGCCCAGCAACCGUGGCCAUCCUCCAGGAGGACUGCUGUCAUCAGAGAGGCUCCUGGUGGAAACCUGGCCAUCCCGUUGCUCAUGGAAGCAGCCGGCCCGUUUCACUGGGUCUGGAGGCCCCAGGUGACAACAGGGCUUAGGAGAACACACCCGACCGUGGCCUUUGGUGGCCACUCACCCACAGUGCUGCUAAACCACGUAGCAGCCUGCAGAGAAAUGUCACCACACUGGGGCCGCCCGCACCAACCAUGCUGAGGCCAGCACGGUGACAGUGUCACUGCUUCUGGUGCUUCACACCAGAGCCGAGCCCAAACCAGGAAACCAAUGUGACUUUUUGUCAGCCCUAGGCUGGGGCCCAAUAUGGCCCCUCCGCUCCCCCCAGUGCAGGGAACAGGCGCAGGGGUUAUGGCAAGCUGCUGAGCCCGUCGGUGCUAGCACUGCUGCAGCCACCCACAGCCCCUGGGGCUACCCCAGGCAGCUGGGUAGAGUUUUCUUUUCAUGCCCCCAGCUGCUCAUCCAAGCCUCUUUCCAGCCCAGGAACCACUGCACCUGAGUUCCCAGGGGAUGUGGGCGAGCAGCACAGCUGCCAGAAGAUGCACAAAGCCCUGAAGCCGAGCCCUCUGCAAAGCUCGUCCUAAGCCCAGGGAGAGGGGGCUCUGCACGAUGGCUCUCACCUCGUGCCUCGCAGAAGUCCCCAGCACUCCCAGCCCCUUGGGAAGCUAAGGAGGACUGCUGGCAUUUCUCCCAUGAGGAAACUGAGGAAGAGAGGCAGGGUGGUUGCUGGCUUUGGCCGGCUGAGCACCACGUUGGUUCUCCAUGGGGACAUCCACCUCUGUUUGAAGCCCAGAGGACCUCGGGGAGCGAUUUCACCAGUGCAGUAGGGCACACGCUCCUCGUCUUCUUCCUAAGAAAAGCUCCGGUGGCUCUCAAAGGACGCACGCAAGGAGGAAAUCAGCUCUGAAAAACACAGGGAGGGACAGAGAGGGAACAGAGCUGGCAACUGCUCAAAAGUUUUUUUUUUUGGGAUGCCUCACUGCUCUGGGCCACUUCAAACAGCAAGCAAGUGCUACCUGGCUGACUUCACCCAGGGAAAGAGAACUCUAGAGAGGAGAGAUCGAGAAAUUUGGCAAGAGGCACCUGGGACAAGUGGCUCGAGGAAGAGGAAAGAGAAAUUCCUGCAGACCCAGCACUUGACCCGAUAUUUCUGCACUACCUAGUUUCUGUGCUGCUUUUGAACUGUCACAGCUGUCCCUUGGAGCCACGUGCCUACAGGAUGGCUUGCUUGGAGAAGUCACAGACCUGCCCCAACACCUCUGACACUGCCAGAAAGCAAAACAGAGAAACACCAGUUGUUUCUGAGUUUGCUGGUGUCCCUGAGACAUUCCUUAUCAGCACAAUGUGCAGGCUGCUUUCAUCACCUUCUCAGGUCUUCAGGAAAACCUGCUCCAGUUCUGGCAUCCUGCGGCCCACGCCUCAUAAAGAAAACAGAGGCUGGCUGCUUGAGAAAGAGCACUCCAUGUACUCGAAGGAAUACUUGAAGGAAGAAGGGAUGGGCUGAAAGGAGGCACCCUGCUGUCUGGUUUCAGCCUAUGUGCCAUCACUUGGACUGUGGUGCCCAAGGCAAGCAAGCAACUGCCCAGCUCCCAGUAGCCUUGGUAAUUUGGAGGUGCUGCAGGCAAAGAGGAUCCCGUGGACAUUUGGUUUCCUGCAAACAACUGGGCCCAGGGAUGUUUCUUCAGCCCUGGCCCUUGCUCCUCAGAGAGCCUGCUCAGCAGAUGGCAAUCUGGAAAGGGCUCUGCACAGCCUGCGGGGGCAAGAGGGAAGGAGGGGAUGGGAAGGUGGUGUAGGUGUAGGUGAACACCACAUGAGAGCAGAUCUUUGCCUGAAUAAAAGCAUCUGGUCCAUGAUCUGGUCAUGGUGGUUCCCCUUAUCCUUUCUACACCCUGAUCUCAGUGCUCACAGCAGAUGGGGGGAGGAAGCACCCAGAAGAAGCAGAGAGCAGGCAAGGGGGAGGACAGGGAGAUGCCGCGUGGAGACAGUGCUCCUGGCAAGCCCGGGGCUCCCCGAGGUGGGUCCCUGCACGCAGGAAGCCUGGGCUUCCCCUGCCACGAGCACCAGCCUGCCGCCCUGCCCCAGCACCUCGCCUGCUGCCCGGCAGGGGAUCUCCUGCCAAGCCGUUCGUGCAAAAUAUGUUGCAGGAUAGAACGGGUUAUGGAAAACAAGCCCUGAAAACCACAAGGGCCUCCUGACCAAUUGUAUCUGGUUUCUGCCAAGUUCUUGUUACAGAUCUUAAACAGAAAGAAAAACAAUGUACGAGGGAUGAAGGAGCUGAAGGGGAAUAUUCGUGUUGGAAGAGCAGUUGGCUGGGCUACGCUUGGGGAUGUUUGUUUAUUAUCCAAUGCAACUCGCUGAUUUUUAUUUCAGCGGGUGCUUUCAGUGGCUUUCCACUCCUCUGUCUGCGCCCCUGGCUGCACGAAGGCACUGCAGAGAGAGGGGAGAGCAGGACAGGGGGUUCUACAACCUGUCCCUUUCAACAUGCUCCUGUGUGAUUGCUUUGCUUCCCUCUGGUUGCUUUGUCUCUUAAGAAAAUGUGAUCUCUGUAAUCACACUCCACAUGUGUGCAGGGGACAAAGGUUCUCUCCUGCUCAUACAGCCCUGCCUGGUCCUAUUUGUAUCUCUUUAAGCAUCCUAUGUCCUUGAAUUUUUAAGUCCCUUUCUGAACUUAAAGCUACUGCCCACCUUUGCAGCCUCACCUGCCAGCCAGGUUCAGAGUUCAGGGCUCACUA